UAGGCACCAGGAAUAAGUGCACGAUGAGAAUUCCCCGCAAGCCACACGAGAACCGUAGCUGACAGCGUAAAUGUGGAAAUACGCUGCUGUCACGCACCGAUCAGCCUUCCUAAUGCUGCAUCGGAAUAUUCUACGGCGUCAAUAUCUAAGCAUCGUUCCAGACGAUCGCUGCAGCUAACACAGACUUGGAAGUGUGACAAUUGUAAAAUGCCGUCAAGUAGUAGGAUAUUCGAAGGUUGCCACGUAUUUACGUCCUCGCGCACGAGCACAAUUGGGUAGCCCACUUAUUAGGACAUCGAGUCAGACCUUUCUUGGACCAAAAAAAUAAGAGAGAAAUAAGAAGAAUAUAGUUAGUAGCAUGAAAACAAGGAAAUUUAGUCUAUGUGACAGCCGCCAUACUAGUUAACACUCGCAACUUAUCGAGAAACUGCAAAUAAGAAUCGAGUAAUGUAUUGGACGAGACGUAUUAUUUGCACAAUGAUUGUUAUGCAGAAUUUAACUGAUACUCGAAUAAGCUACAAAUAUGAUCCUCGUAUAAUCUGUCAAGUAAAAUAAUAUAAAUUAUUGUCUGCCGUAGGUCAAUGUAAUAUAACUGACAAUUUGUAUCAAUAAGACGUGUCUUAAUGUACACUCUAAAUGCGUCGAAUGUUAUGCUAAGGUUUAAAUGGAUAUGAAUAGUCUAUUGUGUUCAAGUGUAAGCAAUGUGCACGUAGAAAUAAAGAAUAUAGAAAUGCGCGAGAUAUGGGACUAGAAUGUCACAUCGAAUCGCAUGUAUAAAACUAUAGCGACUGUUCGUCGUGGGAUGAACGGUUUUGUCAAUGGUGAGAGACGAAGAUGAAGAGAGAGAGAGAGAGAGAGAGAGAGAGAGAGAGAGAGAGAGAGAGAGAGAAGGGUGGACUGAUCAAGCAAGGUAAGACACAGUACGCGCCAAUAGGUGCACACGGCGUUUAACCUUGUCCGAGUCCGAUCGGUUGAUUUGCAGAUUGUGACGUUCGACAAAUAAAUAUCGAAACAGUGUUAUGAAGUAUUUCAUUACUUUACGUAGAAAUGAAGUGGAAACAGAGAAGAAGAGGAUAAAGAGUUGGUGAAAAAGAAGGAGCCGUUCCUUCGCAGCUCCGUAGCAGCAGACUCCUCUCGGCGACGUGCGUCUGGUGGCCUGAUCGUCUGGUCGUCCUUUAUUUUUCCGUCCUACCACCACGACUCGACUACAAGCCUACCAGGCCCACGAUAUCAUGCUAGAUCAACUUCUAACUCUCUGUCCCCGUGAAUGACAGUAUCGUUUCUUUUCUCGUGGGUGAUUCGCCAUUAAUCAAGCAAAGUCCAAGUGCAACUUCGGUGUACAAGAAACAACGAAAAACUUAUCGAGGAGAGAGUUUUAAAUAAAACAA